AUUGAACGCUGGCGGCAGGCUUAACACAUGCAAGUCGAGCGGUAACAGAGAGAAGCUUGCUUCUCUGCUGACGAGCGGCGGACGGGUGAGUAAUGCCUAGGAAUCUGCCUAGUAGUGGGGGAUAACUUGCCGAAAGGUAAGCUAAUACCGCAUACGUCCUACGGGAGAAAGGAGGGGACCUUCGGGCCUUUCGCUAUUAGAUGAGCCUAGGUCGGAUUAGUUAGUUGGUGGGGUAACGGCUCACCAAGGCUUCGAUAGAUAGGGGUUCUGAGAGGAAUAUCCCCCACACUGGUACUGAGACACGGACCAGACUCCUACGGGAGGCAGCAGUGAGGAAUAUUGGACAAUGGGCGCAAGCCUGAUCCAGCCAUGCCGCGUGCAGGAAGAAAGCCCUAUGGGUUGUAAACUGCUUUUAUUCACGAGGAAUAAAUCUCUUGCGAGGGAUUUUGACGUUAGUGUUUGAAUAAGCACCGGCUAACUCCGUGCCAGCAGCCGCCGUAACAC
rnacentral:rRNA from 1 species